rnacentral:rRNA from 1 species
UACGUAGGGUGCGAGCGUUGUCCGGAAUUAUUGGGCGUAAAGAGCUCGUAGGCGGUCUGUCGCGUCUGCUGUGAAAACCCGAGGCUCAACCUCGGGCCUGCAGUGGGUACGGGCAGACUAGAGUGCGGUAGGGGAGAAUGGAAUUCCUGGUGUAGCGGUGGAAUGCGCAGAUAUCAGGAGGAACACCGGUGGCGAAGGCGGGUCUCUGGGCCAUAACUGACGCUGAGGAGCGAAAGCGUGGGGAGCGAACAGG